rnacentral:rRNA from 1 species
GGUGAAAAGCACCCCGGAAGGGGAGUGAAAUAGAACCUGAAACCGUGUGCUUACAAGUAGUCAGAGCCCGUUAAUGGGUGAUGGCGUGCCUUUUGUAGAAUGAACCGGCGAGUUACGAUUUGAUGCAAGGUUAAGCAGUAAAUGUGGAGCCGUAGCGAAAGCGAGUCUGAAUAGGGCGUUUAGUAUUUGGUCGUAGACCCGAAACCAGGUGAUCUACCCUUGGUCAGGUUGAAGUUCAGGUAACACUGAAUGGAGGACCGAACCGACUUACGUUGAAAAGUGAGCGGAUGAACUGAGGGUAGCGGAGAAAUUCCAAUCGAACCUGGAGAUAGCUGGUUCUCUCCGAAAUAGCUUUAGGGCUAGCCUCAAGUGAUGAUUAUUGGAGGUAGAGCACUGUUUGGACGAGGGGCCCCUCUCGGGUUACCGAAUUCAGACAAACUCCGAAUGCCAAUUAAUUUAACUUGGGAGUCAGAACAUGGGUGAUAAGGUCCGUGUUCGAAAGGGAAACAGCCCAGACCACCAGCUAAGGUCCCAAAAUAUAUGUUAAGUGGAAAAGGAUGUGGCGUUGCCCAGACAACUAGGAUGUUGGCUUAGAAGCAGCCAUCAUUUAAAGAGUGCGUAAUAGCUCACUAGUCGAGUGACACUGCGCCGAAAAUGUACCGGGGCUAAACAUAUUACCGAAGCUGUGGAUUGUCCUUUGGACAAUGGUAGGAGAGCGUUCUAAGGGCGUUGAAGCAUGAUCGUAAGGACAUGUGGAGCGCUUAGAAGUGAGAAUGCCGGUGUGAGUAGCGAAAGACGGGUGAGAAUCCCGUCCACCGAUUGACUAAGGUUUCCAGAGGAAGGCUCGUCCGCUCUGGGUUAGUCGGGUCCUAAGCUGAGGCCGACAGGCGUAGGCGAUGGAUAACAGGUUGAUAUUCCUGUACCACCUAUAAUCGUUUUAAUCGAUGGGGGGACGCAGUAGGAUAGGCGAAGCGUGCGAUUGGAUUGCACGUCUAAGCAGUAAGGCUGAGUAUUAGGCAAAUCCGGUACUCAUUAAGGCUGAGCUGUGAUGGGGAGAAGACAUUGUGUCUUCGAGUCGUUGAUUUCACACUGCCGAGAAAAGCCUCUAGAUAGAAAAUAGGUGCCCGUACCGCAAACCGACACAGGUAGUCAAGAUGAGAAUUCUAAGGUGAGCGAGCGAACUCUCGUUAAGGAACUCGGCAAAAUGACCCCGUAACUUCGGGAGAAGGGGUGCUCUUUAGGGUUAACGCCCAGAAGAGCCGCAGUGAAUAGGCCCAAGCGACUGUUUAUCAAAAACACAGGUCUCUGCUAAACCGUAAGGUGAUGUAUAGGGGCUGACGCCUGCCCGGUGCUGGAAGGUUAAGAGGAGUGGUUAGCUUCUGCGAAGCUACGAAUCGAAGCCCCAGUAAACGGCGGCCGUAACUAUAACGGUCCUAAGGUAGCGAAAUUCCUUGUCGGGUAAGUUCCGACCCGCACGAAAGGCGUAACGAUUUGGGCACUGUCUCAACGAGAGACUCGGUGAAAUCAUAGUACCUGUGAAGAUGCAGGUUACCCGCGACAGGACGGAAAGACCCCGUGGAGCUUUACUGUAGCCUGAUAUUGAAAUUCGGCACAGCUUGUACAGGAUAGGUAGGAGCCUUUGAAACGUGAGCGCUAGCUUACGUGGAGGCGCUGGUGGGAUACUACCCUAGCUGUGUUGGCUUUCUAACCCGCACCACUUAUCGUGGUGGGAGACAGUGUCAGGCGGGCAGUUUGACUGGGGCGGUCGCCUCCUAAAAGGUAACGGAGGCGCUCAAAGGUUCCCUCAGAAUGGUUGGAAAUCAUUCAUAGAGUGUAAAGGCAUAAGGGAGCUUGACUGCGAGACCUACAAGUCGAGCAGGGUCGAAAGACG